CCAGAGUCCCUCUGGUUAUGUUAGUCACCUCUCCAGACAGACAGACGGACGGACGGCCAGACGAAUAUGAGAUUCCAGGACAAUACAACAGUUGGUUGUCCGGUGGCGGAUUAUGUCCGUAACCAUGGCGAUGGCAGCGCAGAUGGGUGUCCAGACUGUGGCGGCGGCCAAAGCGGAGGGUGACAGACUCUGGGACGGUUGUCGUGGACAGAGAUAGAGAGCGUGCUGGACAACCACAAGGAACAGGACAACUAGACACGGACACGGCAACAGUAUCCCACAACAGAGGGGCAUCGCUCUCUCUGUCAACAAACUACAAGCACCAGAGCUCUGAGUUUGGAGCCGUUGGAGACAGCUGGGACUGGAUUGGAAUUCUGGUUAUUAGGAAGUCAACGAUGUGCCUCCUGUUUAAAUAAUGCCUACAAUUUGAGCAUGUUGUCUAAGCAUGUGUAACUGGUUGGCGGUCCAUAUGAGGGAGGACAUUUGUGGUGAAAAUGAUUGUGAUGAAUGCAUACUGUGGUGCUGGCUACACAAACUCCCUCUCAUGUUAUUAGUUGGAGAGAUACAUGUGUUGCAUUGAAUGCCAGGUAGGUAGUAGUGGAUGCAAUGUGAAAGGCCAGAGUUGAAGCAGAGGAAGUUCACAAACAAACAGAGGUUUAAAAUACUGUUACCAAGAUCAACUUGAGGAUGGACGCUGAGUGGUCCGGAGGGAGGCUACAUUUUUCAAACACCCGAGACAGCUUUUUUUCCUGCAAUCUAGAGCGAUAAUCAUUAUGGCAUUAUGUAAAAAAAAAAAAAAAAGUUUUAAAUGUAUUUUUUCUGCACAGAAUAUCUAAGCAUACCUCUAUUUCUGUUCAGUUGUCAUUUUCCCUGUUGUUAGUCACACUUCUCAAUAUACUGCACUAACUAGGGUGUCACGCCCUGGUCGUAUUAUAUUGUGUUUGUCUUCAUUUAUUUGGUCAGGCCAGGGUGUGACAUGGGUUUAUUGUGGUGUGUUUUGUCUUGGGAGUGUCUAGCAUAGUCUAUGGCUGCCUGAGGCGGUUCUCAAUCAGAGUCAGGUGAUUAUCGUUGUCUCUGAUUGGGAACCAUAUUUAGGCAGCCAUAUUCUUUGAGUAUUUGGUGGGUGAUUGUUCCUGUCUCUGUGUUUUGUUGUCACCAGAUAGGCUGUAUAGGUUUUCACGUUCCGGUUGUUGUUUUUGUAUUAUCGUUUUUCAUCGUCAUUAAACAUGUAU